GUAUAUGGACUGGUAUAUGGUGUGUAUAUUGGUUAGGUCUACAGUAUAUGGACUGGUACAUGGUGUUUGUAUUGGUAAGGUCUACAGUAUAUGGACUGGUACAUGGUGUAUGUGUUGGUAAGGUCUACAGUAUAUGGACUGGUACAUGGUGUUUGUAUUGGUGAGGUCUACAGUAUAUGGACUGGUAAAUGGUGUGUAUAUUGCAAAGAUCUACAUUAUAUGGACUGGUGCAUGGUGUGUAUAUUGGUAAGGUCUAUAGUAUAUGGACUGGUACAUGGUGUUUGUAUUGGUAAGGUCUACAGUAUAUGGAGUGGUACAUGGUGUGUAUAUUGGUAAGGUCUACAGUAUAUGGACUGGUACAAGCGGUUUGUAUUGAUAAGGUCAACAUUGUUAAGACUGGUAAAUGGUGUUUGAAUUGGUAAGGUCAACAGUAUAUGGAAUAGUACAUGGUGUUUGUAUUGGUAAGGUAUACAGUAUAUGGACUGGUACAUGGUGUGUAUAUUGGUAAGGUCUACAGUAUAUGGACUGUUACACGGUGUUUGAAUUUGUAAGGUCUACAGUAUAUGGACUGGUACAUGGUGUUAGUACUGUUAAGGUUAACAGUAUUAAGACUAGUUCAUGGCGUGUAUAUUGGUAAGGUCUACAUGGUGUUUGUAUUGCUAAGGUCUACAGUAUAUGGACUGGUCCCUGAUGUGUAUAUUGCUAAGGUCUACAGUAUAUGGACUGGUACAUGGUGUAUGUAUUGGUAAGGCCUACAGUAUAUGGACUGGUAAUGAUGUUUGUAUUGGUACGGUCUACAGCAUAUGGACUGGUACAUGAUGUGUAUAUUGGUAAGGUCUACAGUAUAUGGACUGGUACAUGGUGUAUGUAUUGGUAAGGCCUACAGUAUAUGGACUGGUACAUGGUGUGUUUAUUGGUUAUGUCUACAGCGUAUGGACUGGUACAUCGUUUGUAUAUUGGUAAGGCCUACAGUAUAUGGACUGGUACAUGGUGUGUAUAUUGGCAAGGUCUACAGUAUAUGGACUGGUACAUGGUGUGUAUAUUGGUUAUGUCUACAGUAUAUGGACUGGUUCAUGGUGUUUGUAUUGGUAAGGCCUACUGUAGAUGGACUGGUACAUGGUGAUUGUAUUGGUAAUGUCUA
rnacentral:lncRNA from 1 species